CUCAGUGCCAUCUCCCACUCACAAUGGUAAGCUAAGCCAGGUUGGGCCUGACCAGUACAUGGAUGGUAAACCGAGUAGGAAAGCUGGGUUGCUGCUGGGG
rnacentral:rRNA from 1 species